UAACGACUCUCGGCAACGGAUAUCUCGGCUCUCGCAUCGAUGAAGAACGUAGCGAAAUGCGAUACUUGGUGUGAAUUGCAGAAUCCCGUGAACCAUCGAGUCUUUGAACGCAAGUUGCGCCCAAAGUCGUUAGGCUGAGGGCACGUCUGCCUGGGUGUCACG
rnacentral:rRNA from 1 species